rnacentral:misc_RNA from 1 species
GAUGAAGAACGUAGCGAAAUGCGAUAAGUAGUGUGAAUUGCAGAAUUCAGUGAAUCAUCGAAUCUUUGAACGCACAUUGCGACCCUUGGUAUUCCAUGGGGCAUGCCUGUUCGAGCGUCAUUUGUACCUUCAAGCUCUGCUUGGUGUUGGGUGUUUGUCUCGCCUCUGCGUGUAGACUCGCCUCAAAACAAUUGGCAGCCGGCGUAUUGAUUUCGGAGCGCAGUACAUCUCGCGCUUUGCACUCAUAACGACGACGUCCAAAAGUACAUUUUUACACUCUUGACCUCGGAUCAGGUAGGGAUACCCGCUGAACUUAAGCAUAUCAAUAAGCGGAGGA